rnacentral:rRNA from 1 species
UACUGGAAACGGUAGCUAAUACCGCAUAACGUCGCAAGACCAAAGUGGGGGACCUUCGGGCCUCACACCAUCGGAUGAACCCAGAUGGGAUUAGCUAGUAGGUGGGGUAAUGGCUCACCUAGGCGACGAUCCCUAGCUGGUCUGAGAGGAUGACCAGCCACACUGGAACUGAGACACGGUCCAGACUCCUACGGGAGGCAGCAGUGGGGAAUAUUGCACAAUGGGGGAAACCCUGAUGCAGCCAUGCCGCGUGUGUGAAGAAGGCCUUCGGGUUGUAAAGCACUUUCAGCGGGGAGGAAGGCGGUGGCGUUAAUAGCGCUAUCGAUUGACGUUACCCGCAGAAGAAGCACCGGCUAACUCCGUGCCAGCAGCCGCGGUAAUACGGAGGGUGCGAGCGUUAAUCGGAAUUACUGGGCGUAAAGCGUACGCAGGCGGUCUGUUAAGUCAGAUGUGAAAUCCCCGGGCUUAACCUGGGAACUGCAUUUGAAACUGGCAGGCUAGAGUCUCGUAGAGGGGGGUAGAAUUCCAGGUGUAGCGGUGAAAUGCGUAGAGAUCUGGAGGAAUACCGGUGGCGAAGGCGGCCCCCUGGACGAAGACUGACGCUCAGGUACGAAAGCGUGGGGAGCAAACAGGAUUAGAUACCCUGGUAGUCCACGCUGUAAACGAUGUCGAUUUGAAGGUUGUGGCCUUGAGCCGUGGCUUUCGGAGCUAACGCGUUAAAUCGACCGCCUGGGGAGUACGGCCGCAAGGUUAAAACUCAAAUGAAUUGACGGGGGCCCGCACAAGCGGUGGAGCAUGUGGUUUAAUUCGAUGCAACGCGAAGAACCUUACCUACUCUUGACAUCCAGAGAACAUGGCAGAGAUGCCCUGGUGCCUUCGGGAACUCUGAGACAGGUGCUGCAUGGCUGUCGUCAGCUCGUGUUGUGAAAUGUUGGGUUAAGUCCCGCAACGAGCGCAACCCUUAUCCUUUGUUGCCAGCGAUUCGGUCGGGAACUCAAAGGAGACUGCCGGUGAUAAACCGGAGGAAGGUGGGGAUGACGUCAAGUCAUCAUGGCCCUUACGAGUAGGGCUACACACGUGCUACAAUGGCGCAUACAAAGAGAAGCGAUCUCGCGAGAGUCAGCGGACCUCAUAAAGUGCGUCGUAGUCCGGAUUGGAGUCUGCAACUCGACUCCAUGAAGUCGGAAUCGCUAGUAAUCGUGGAUCAGAAU